rnacentral:rRNA from 1 species
GAUGAACGCUAGCGACAGGCUUAACACAUGCAAGUCGAGGGGCAGCAUAGAAGUAGCAAUACCUUGGUGGCGACCGGCGCACGGGUGAGUAACGCGUAUGCAACCUACCUAUCAGAGGGGAAUAACCCGGCGAAAGUCGGACUAAUACCGCAUAAAACAGGGGCACCGCAUGGAGAUAUUUGUUAAAGAAAUUCGCUGAUAGAUGGGCAUGCGUUCCAUUAGGUAGUUGGUGAGGUAACGGCUCACCAAGCCGACGAUGGAUAGGGGAACGGAGAGGUUGGUCCCCCACACUGGUACUGAGACACGGACCAGACUCCUACGGGAGGCAGCAGUGAGGAAUAUUGGUCAAUGGGCGGGAGCCUGAACCAGCCAAGUCGCGUGAAGGAAGAAGGAUCUAUGGUUCGUAAACUUCUUUUGCAGGGGAAUAAAGUGCGGGACGUGUCCUGUUUUGUAUGUACCCUGAGAAUAAGGAUCGGCUAACUCCGUGCCAGCCGCCGCGGUAACAC